UUAAUCAUCAAUCAUCAUCAACCAAGUUCAUCAAGUUAUUAUCAUUGUUGUGAAUCAAGUAAGUAAUAAUCAUUCUUUGUUUUUAUUGUGUUAUGUUGUUUUGUUUUAUGUAUUUAAGAAUACAAUGCCUGAAAAUUGAAGGAAAGUAGUUUCCAUUUUUGAUGAAGAAGACAACCUUCGUUGCCCUAAACCCAGAAACGUACCUUCAGUUCACGUACGCAAAAAAAAUUUCAAAAACCCAGAAACGUCAGUUCACGUACGUGGACAAAAUUUCAAAAUCCAAACCUUACGUGAAUUGAAAUAACGUAUGUAUACGUGAACUGAGUUCGCGUAAACUUACGUGAAUUGCAGUUUACGUACAUAACAAAUUUUUAAAAAAAAUUUACGUACGCAAUUUCAGUUCACGUACAUGGCUUAUUAUUCAUCAUUCAAUGAUUACGCAAUCUAAGUUUACGUAGGGGUACGUGAAUUCAGAUUGCGUAGAGUUUCAGAAUUUCAGUUUUUUAAAACAUACGUAAAAUCUCUAGAUUUACAAAAACAAAAAAUGGGAGUUAUUGGAUAUUAAAUGAUUUUGAGUAUUGAUAUGUGAGUUAUGAGUAUGAUGAAUGGGAGUUAUGGGAUAUUAAAUGUGUAAUAUUGAUGACAGGGGCAUUUUGGGCACUUUAUUUUUUUUUUAAAUUUGAGGGGUGUGAAUAGCAAUCUGGGGGGGUGAAUAGUGACAAAGUAAUUGUUUAGAACUCGUGUAAAAAAUCCAAAUUUCCAUAUUCUCUUUCUUUGAUGAUAUGUGGGGAGAUGGAAGGAAAAAAAAAUGCAGAGGGAGGAGGGAAAGGGAGGUCGUGCAGUGGUGGAGCAACUUUUCCAGGCUGACACGUCACGCCUAACAACCUAGCCACUACCCACACCAAUCUUCUUUCUUUUCUAUCAGAUCUGAUUUCUCUCUCUCCCUCACGCGCCUUCUCGUUUGAGUUCAGAAUCCGAGUUCUCAGUCUCGUUUGUGUUCUGAAUCUGGGUUUGAGUUCUGAUUUUGUGUUGGUCGAUCUGAGUUAUGUGUUCGUGUUUGAUUUCACGUUGGCGUUCAUUUUACAUUUUCUGGGUGAAAAGAAGAAUAUGAGUAUAGAUUUGGGUCGUUGUUUUAUCGUAUAAUCAAUGACGAGAUUACCUUCUGUGUUUUAUUUUCUGAGUUUUGAUGUAAGUUGUUGAGUUUUUCUGUAUUAUUUUGGUUUUGUUUUGAAGAAGAUGAAUUUAUUGGGUUUUUUGUUUUUUUCUUUUUUUGUAUAUAAUUAGAAGAUGAAAUCAUCUUUGACCCUUA